UACGGAGGAGGCAAGCGUUAUCCGGAAUUAUUGGGCGUAAAGCGUCCGCAGGUGGCACUUCAAGUCUGUCGUCAAAGACUGGGGCUUAACCCUGGAAAGGCGGUGGAAACUGAAGCGCUAGAGUGCGGUAGGGGUAGAGGGAAUUCCCGGUGUAGCGGUGAAGUGCGUAGAUAUCGAGAGGAACACCAGAGGUGAAGACGGGUUGCUGGGCCGACACUGACGCUGACAGCGCGAAAGCCAGGGGAGCAAACGGG
rnacentral:rRNA from 1 species